rnacentral:lncRNA from 1 species
UGGUUAUCUCUCCUCCCUCCUCCUCCUGGUUAUUUCCUCUCCUCCUCCUGGUUAUUCUCUCCUCCUCCUCCUCCUCCUGGUUAUUUCCUCUCAUCCUCCCUCCUGGUUAUUUCCUCUCCUCCUCCUGGUUAUUUCCUCUCAUCCUCCUCCUGGUUAUUUCCUCUCCUCCUCCUCCUCCUGGUUACUUCCUCUCCUCCUUCUCGUCGUUAAUCCUGACCUACUUUUCCUCCUGUAAAAAGUGAAGUUACAAACAUUUGUCCAGAGCUUCACUUCCGGCAGACCUUCCCAACAUGGCGGCCGUGCGCACCGCGGCCUGUCGCUGAACUUCUGCAGGACUUUCCUAAACUCCACUCGACUCGUUCCUGGAGUGAAAUGUGGUUCGGUUCCAGCCCGUGAGCCUCCAGCGGACUCUCCCGGGGAUGUGCUCGCUCCGUGCGGCCUUCUGAAGGAGCUCCAUCCCGCGGAAACACGAAGGUCUGAGGAGCGGUUGCCAUGGCGUCCUAUGACCAGCUGCUGAGGCAGGUGGAGGUGCUGAAGAUGGAGAACUCACCUGAGACAGGAGCUGCAAGACAACUCCACCCACCUGAGCAAGCUGGAGAGCGAGGCGUCCAACAUGAAGGAAGUGCUGAAGCAGCUGCAGGUCGAUGGAAGAGGAGAGCAGCGAGGGGGCGGGGUCUCAGGAGCUCAUCGAGAGACUGAAAGAGAUGAGCCUGGAGGCGGCCGGGUUUAUGCCCAGGACCAGGCCUCCUCUGCCCCAUUCCUCCUCCUCGUCCUCGGCCUCUUCGUCCGGAGCCGCUGGAGGACCGCCCCGCAGAGCAGCGCCCCCGCGGGCAGGGAGGGGCACGACCGAGGAGAGCCACCUGCAGACAGGGGAGCGCCCCCCACAGGCAGAGAGGGCCACGACAGAGGAGCGCCCCCCACAGCAGAGAGGGCCACGACGGUGCGCUGGACGAGCUGGAGAAAGAGAGGUGCGGCCACGGGAACUUAAAAUGGGACGGAGAGAGAUGGAAAAAUAACCAGAGAGAGAGAGACAGGA